rnacentral:rRNA from 1 species
UACGAAGGGGGCUAGCGUUGUUCGGAUUUACUGGGCGUAAAGCGCAUGUAGGCGGGUUGUUAAGUCGGGGGUGAAAGCCCAGAGCUCAACUCUGGAACUGCCUUCGAUACUGGGGGCCUGGAGCAAGUCAGAGGCGAGUGGAAUUGCGAGUGUAGAGGUGAAAUGCGUAGAUAUUCGGAGGAACACCAGUGGCGAAGGCGACCCUCUGGGAGGUUGCUGACGCUGAGAUGCGAAAGCGUGGGGAGCAAACAGG